rnacentral:rRNA from 1 species
GACGUAGGGCGCGAGCGUUGUCCGGAUUUACUGGGCGUAAAGCGCGUGUAGGCGGCCCGUUAAGUGGGUGUGAAAGCCCGGGGCUCAACCCCGGGACGCCGCUUCAAACUGGCGGGCUUGAGGACGGAAGAGGGGAGUGGAAUUCCUGGUGAGCGGUGAAAUGCGUAGAGAUCAGGAGGAACACCGUGGCGAAGGCGGCUCUCUGGAACGCAACUGACGCUGAGACGCGAAAGCUGGGGAGCGAAC